rnacentral:rRNA from 1 species
AUGGUACACAAUUGGCAUGGGCGACGAAAGCUGUUGGUUUCCCUCACCAGGCUUGUUACUUGGGAGCUUUGGACCGACCGCAAUUCAAGAGUCUUCCACAACAUUUCCACACCGCCUCACAUCAUCAUAUCCAAAUUCUGUAACGAGGCGCGAAAUUGGGCAUUGGCCGGAGCAAAACACUUGCGUAAUUUUAUGCCAUGA